UGCCAGCCGCCGCGGUAAUACGAGAUGUGCGAGCGUUGUUCGGAAUCACUGGGCAUGAAGGGUUCGUAGGUGGUUUUGUAAGUUAGGUGUGAAAUGCCCCGGCUCAACCGGGGAACUGCAUUUAAUACUGCAGAACUUGAGGGUGAAAGAGGCAAGUGGAAUUCCAGGUGUAGCGGUGGAAUGCGUAGAUAUCUGGGAGAACGCCAAAGGCGAAGGCAGCUUGCUGGGUCACUCCUGACACUGAGGAACGAAAGCUAGGGGAGCGAACAGGAUUAGAUA
rnacentral:rRNA from 1 species